CCUACGGGAGGCAGCAGUGAGGAAUAUUGGUCAAUGGACGAGAGUCUGAACCAGCCAAGUAGCGUGAAGGAUGACGGCCCUAUGGGUUGUAAACUGCUUUUAUAUGGGAAUAAAAUGUUCCACGUGUGGGAUUUUGUAUGUACCGUAUGAAUAAGGAUCGGCUAACUCCGUGCCAGCAGCCGCGGUAAUACGGAGGAUCCGGGCGUUAUCCGGAUUUAUUGGGUUUAAAGGGAGCGUAGGUGGAUUGUUAAGUCAGUUGUGAAAUUUUGCGGCUCAACCGUAACAUUGCAGUUGAAACUGGCAGUCUUGAGUACAGUAGAGGUGGGCGGAAUUCGUGGUGUAGCGGUGAAAUGCUUAGAUAUCACGAAGAACUCCGAUUGCGAAGGCAGCUCACUGGACUGCAACUGACACUGAGGCUCGAAAGUGUGGGUAUCAAACAGGAUUAGAUACCCUUGUAGUC
rnacentral:rRNA from 1 species